GGAGGGAGUGAGCAGGAUGCUGUGAGAGAGGGUUACUAUUCCAAGUGGCACCUGGGCCAGCAGCAUUGGCAUCACCUGGGACUUGUGAGAAAUCCAGCAUCUCAGGCUCCACUGCAGGUCUCCUAAAUCAGAAUCUACAGUUUAACAAGAUCCCCAGCAGAUGUGUGUGUAAGCUCAAGAACCUGUUGAGAGGAGCACCUAGCAUAAGACCUGGCUUGUGACAGCUGCUCGUGGCAUGCCCUUCUCCACUAAGCCAACUUGUUAAACCUCUUCACGGCUGAGAUCAUGCUGCUUUCUUCUUCAGAUCUGCCACCCUCUAGCUGGGUGACUUUUAGACAAGUGAUCGACCUCUCUGAGCCAGAGUUUCUACCUUGUAAAAAAAAAAAAAUCCCUUCCUGCAUGGUCAGCUGUCAUGAAAAGGACACAUGGUGAUGGGCAGACAAAGACAAGGCUUAGCUUCGUGUUUGACUCCUAGGAGCGCCCAGUUCAUGGAGGCUGCUGCUGUCACUAAUCUGUUUCCAUCUUCCCCUGGGAAUCCUGAGGUUUAUCUGUGAGCCUUUGGACUGCUGUAUGGACAACAUACUCUGCAGUAGCAUGAAGAAGUGAGUGAAGACCCUCCCUUGAACCGUUUGCCCUGAAAGAACAGAAGUCACAUCUUGAUAUCUCAGUGCCUUUACAGUGCCAGGGAUGGGGUAGGUGCUGAGCGCCUGGUAUGUGCUCACCCUAUGCUGUACAACACACAGAAAGCCCCACAGGGUUUGAACUGUAAUUAGGUAGAGGGUGUGUGGGACUCGCCUUGGGUCUCU
rnacentral:lncRNA from 1 species